rnacentral:misc_RNA from 1 species
AUACUUCAAAAAUAAUUUUAUAUUUCUCUACAUUUAAUUAAUAAAAAAUUAUAAAUAUAAAUUUAUUUAUAACACUUAUUAUAAUUUUAAUUAAUAUAUUAUUUAUUAAUCGGUUAAAUGUAUGUGUACUGAAUACUCUAGUAAAAAUACAUGUGAAAUCACAAAUGCUUCUGAUCACACUGCUGGGUGAGCCCUUUCAGAAAUACUAGUAAUAUAUUCAGUCUUCAAUACUGGAUUUCUCGAUGACAAGUUCCAAAAUAGAUAGCAACUUUUCAUAUUAAAUGCAUAUAAUGCAGUCAAUUAUUUCCUGGGUAUUAAUUCCAAAGCUAAGAGCACCACACAUUCCACAAAAUUAGAUGUUUCUACCGUAUUUAUUAAAGAAUUAAAAGAACAUUUGAGAAAAAGUUACAUUUUCAGUUUUCAGGAAACCAGCUUUCUCUUACCUCAAAGCUUGGGAAGAAAACCAACCAAAAAAAAAUUUCAAUGCUCUGGAAUACUUUGCCAAAAAAUCCAGCGGCCUUCAAAAUCAAGAUUUCAAGUUACUCUGAACAUUACUGGAGUAGUCUACAACCUGUAAGGUCUCGUGUUCGAGAUCUUAAUAGAAGCAAAUAAGAAAUUAAAAAAAAAAAAUCAGACUUACAAGUUAAGGAGGUACCGGAAAUAAAAGGUCUGGCUGGCUCAUCCUCGGCAAUAUAUGGACUGCCACAGCUUCAAAUCCCGGCGGCGUCUCCAGUAUCCAUAACCUCACUGGCAUCGCCACCACAUCUAGUACCACAAUCCCACCAUUGUUACUGCCACUGCAAACGACGCAUACUCUACCACCACCUGCAGCAAUCUGUUGUGCUCCUAUAAGCCUUUCUGACUCCAUUAUGUACUCCCAGUCAUCCCUCUCCGGGUCAUAUUUUUUUAGUGUACCCUUGAUUUCUUCUACCACGUACAUCACCUCCUCAUCCAUGGCUGCCACAGGACCUUUCCACCCAGCAAGCAUACCCUCUGGCAUGUCCUCCCAAGCGUCCUUCUCAGUGUCAUAAACUAAACCUUCUUUCGCUGCUUGUCCUUUUACAUUCACCAUACAUAGUUUCCCUCUCCACCCUACUGCAUCAAUGGCGUCUCUACUAAAUCUUCCAUCUUUCAAUCCUUUGACCUUCUCCCAUUUCCAAGAGCUACCCUUGCUCCUGGUCGUCAAACAAUGACCGGUCACUGCGGCUGUUUUUUUGUUGUGCAAGAAAUCCCAUUUUUCCACCGACUUCGCCACAUCGGCAGAGAAAUAAGACCCGAUCCCACUCGCCACAUAGAUGGCGCCAUUUAUAGCACCGGCAGCGCACCAGCGGCGCGGUGAGGCGAGUUGGGGGCCAAAAACCCAUGUACGAGAGAGCGGAUUGAAAAUGAGAGGACGAGACAGGGCUGGGGAAAAAUUGUGAGCGGUGGCAGCAAGGAGGAUUAGGUGGCCAGAAACGGAGACAAACUGUAUAGGUAAGUAGCGGGAAAUAAAGGAUGGGUGGCGGAGGAGGAGACGGAGAGGGGGGUCCGGCGGUGGAGGAGGGAGAGAAGCCCACCUGGAGGAGAUAGGAUCAAAGUUAAAGAAUUGAAUUGAAUUAGUAAGGUCACUGUGAUCUGUGCGUUUAGAAGAUAAAACUGUGUAAAGAGAGAGGAAAGGAGGGAAACAAGGGGAAUAGAUUAGUCGGCGCCAUGAAGGGCAAACGGAGUAAAGCAAGGAAGGGUGAACACGGGAGAGGCAAAGUUCAGCUAUGUGGUCAGGCAGACCAGGGAUCAGAUCAGAUGACUCCUGACGAUGGCGGUGGUGUUUGGUUAAUGUUUGGCGUUUGACGGUGUUUCUACAGGCGGAUACAACCGCUGUAGUCUGGUUGGGAUUGGCCAUUGGAAAAGAAGAAGGGAGGGACAAAGAGCAAUGAAGGAGCAUAAAUAUGGACAUGUUCUAACUUUAUUAUUUAUUUAUUCAUUUUCUUUAAUUUUUGUUUUCUUGCCUUAAAAGAGAAGGGCCUCUAAUUGAUGGUUUGGACAAGCCGUGGAUUUUUAAAUACGUGUCAAGUUGAAAUAAAAGGCAAAAGCUAGGAAUUGGACAUUUAUAAAAAAGCAAUAAAAUUAUUUAGGGUUUCACUUUCUUGAUUUAAG